rnacentral:rRNA from 1 species
UACCUGCAGCUCUAGUGGUGUCCGCUAUUAUUGGGCCUAAAACGUCCGUAGCCGGCUUAUUAAAUGCCUGGGUAAAUCGUACGGCUUAACCGUACGAAUUCCGGGUAGACUGAUAAGCUUGGGACCGGGAGAAGCUAGAGGUACUCCUGGGGGUAGAGGUGAAAUUUUGUAAUCCUAGGGGGACCACCAGUGGCGAAGGCGUCUAGCUAGAACGGGUUUGACGGUGAGGGACGAAGCCCUGGGGGAGCAAACGGGAUUAGAUACCCCGGUAGUCCAGGGUGUAAACGCUGCUUGCUUGAUGUUAGUCGGGCUCCGAGCCCGAUUAGUGUCGGAGAGAAGUUGUUAAGCAAGCUGCCUGGGAAGUACGGCCGCAAGACUGAAACUUAAAGGAAUUGGCGGGGGAGCACUGCAACGGGUGGAGCGUGCGGUUU